rnacentral:lncRNA from 10 species
GGACAAGCCCCAGACUUGGAUGGAGAUGUGCCACAAAAACAAAUGUUGAAGAAUGAGAGAAACCAUGUGAAAGAGAACAGUCAUUCCAGCCAUCCAAGUCAUCCAAGCCCCUUCAACAACAGCUGACCUUCAAGCACAUAAGAGAGCCCACUUAAGAUCAGCAGACCUGCCUACCCAACCUAGAGCUGAUUACAAACAUAUGAAGCAGCUCAUCCCAGGUCAGAAGAACUUCCUAGCCAAUACAUAGGAUUUUUGUUCUUUGGUGUGUUCAUAUGGUAGAUUAUAUUGGUUCAUUUUCAAAUACUGAGCCAUCCUUGCAUUCUCAGGAUAAAUCCCACUUUGUUGUAUUGCAUUAUUCUUUUUAUAUAUUCUUGGAUUCAAUUUGCUGAUAUUUUGUUGAAGAUUUUUGUAUCAAUGUCACUGGUCUAUCUUCUUUUCUUGUACUAUCUUUGGUUUUUGUAUCAAAGUAAUGUUAGAGUUGUAUCAUGAGUUUGGAAGUAUUCCCUCCUUGUUUAUUUUAUAUAAGAGAUUUUGUAGAAAUGGUGCUUUGGUCUUCAUUAAGUGUUUGGCAGAAUUCACUAGUAAAGCUCUCUGGGU